rnacentral:rRNA from 1 species
AGAGUUUGAUCAUGGCUCAGGAUGAACGCUGGCGGUAUGCUUAACACAUGCAAGUCGAACGCAGUCCUUCGGGGCUGAGUGGCGGACGGGUGAGUAACGCGUGAGAAUCUGCCUAAAGGACUGGGACAACAGCUGGAAACGGCUGCUAAUACCAGAUAUGCCAGAAAGUGAAAAGGGGUAACCCGCCUUUUGAUGAGCUCGCGUCUGAUUAGCUAGUUGGUAGGGUAAAGGCCUACCAAGGCACCGAUCAGUAACUGGUCUGAGAGGAUGGCCAGUCACACUGGGACUGAGACACGGCCCAGACUCCUACGGGAGGCAGCAGUGGGGAAUUUUCCGCAAUGGGCGAAAGCCUGACGGAGCAAUACCGCGUGGGGGAGGAAGGCUCUUGGGUCGUAAACCUCUUUUCUCAGGGAAGAACAAAAUGACGGUACCUGAGGAAUCAGCAUCGGCUAACUCCGUGCCAGCAGCCGCGGUAAUACGGAGGAUGCAAGCGUUAUCCGGAAUGAUUGGGCGUAAAGCGUCCGCAGGUGGCAGUGUAAGUCUGCUGUCAAAGGUCAGGGCUCAACCCUGAACAGGCAGUGGAAACUACACAGCUAGAGUGCGGUGGGGGCAGAGGGAAUUCCCAGUGUAGCGNUGAAAUGCGUAGAGAUUGGGAAGAACACCGGUGGCGAAAGCGCUCUGCUAGGCCGCAACUGACACUCAUGGACGAAAGCUAGGGGAGCGAAUGGGAUUAGAUACCCCCGUAGUCC